AUAAAAGAGCAAAAAGCUGUGUAGCUCAUUGACAGGCACAGCCUGUAGGCAGACAAGCUAAUGUUACCUGGGAUUUUUGAGCCACAGCCUUCAUAGUGUUAGUCCUUCUGUGCUUUUAAAUGUUUUCCACUGAUAUUUUUUCAAAAGAUAUUCACUUUGAAUUUUGUAUAUAGCACUUAAUCUUUCAGAAAUAUACAGUUAAAAUUGAACUAGGAAGAACAGCCGCAGCUGUCCCUCCCAGAUAAGGGAUGGGAGCAUUCAGCUCUUUGUUUGCAGCAGAGAAAGCCUGGAGACUGGCCAGUGUUAAGCUAGAGCAGCGCUGUAAGACACUUUAAUAGCACAGUCUGGAAAGUCUGAUCAUCAUUUUGUUUUCAUGUUCUCUGCCAAAUGAUGCAAGUACUAUAUGUAUGGAGAAAUGCACUGGAAUGUGUAAUACAAGCAUCAGAUCUAUACAAAAAGGUCAGAAGGAACAAAAGCUAGUGUGUCCAUUCUGUUGGGCCCAUGGGAAGGAGACAACUGGUACAAGGGCAAUGAGGAAUACAGCCUGAGAUGAGGGCUCCCAGGCAACGAAGAUGGUAGCUAUUCCUGG
rnacentral:lncRNA from 1 species